UCCCACCUACGGGGGGCAGCAGUCGAGAAUCCUUCACAAUGGGGGAAACCCUGAUGGUGCGACGCCGCGUGGGGGAAUGAAGGUCUUCGGAUUGUAAACCCCUGUCAUGUGGGAGCAAAUUAAAAAGAUAGUACCACAAGAGGAAGAGACGGCUAACUCUGUGCCAGCAGCCGCGGUAAUACAGAGGUCUCAAGCGUUGUUCGGAAUCACUGGGCGUAAAGCGUGCGUAGGCUGUUUCGUAAGUCGUGUGUGAACGGCGCGGGCUCAACCCGCGGACGGCACCUGAUACUGUGAGACUAGGGUCG
rnacentral:rRNA from 1 species